rnacentral:rRNA from 1 species
AACGAACGCUGGCGGCAUGCCUAAUACAUGCAAGUCGAACGAGAUCUUCGGAUCUAGUGGCGCACGGGUGCGUAACGCGUGGGAAUCUGCCCUUGGGUUCGGAAUAACUUCUGGAAACGGAAGCUAAUACCGGAUGAUGACGUAAGUCCAAAGAUUUAUCGCCCAAGGAUGAGCCCGCGUAGGAUUAGCUAGUUGGUGGGGUAAAGGCCGACCAAGGCGACGAUCCUUAGCUGGUCUGAGAGGAUGAUCAGCCACACUGGGACUGAGACACGGCCCAGACUCCUACGGGAGGCAGCAGUAGCGAAUAUUGGACAAUCGGGGAAACCCUGAUCCAGCAAUGCCGCGUGAGUGAUGAAGGCCUUAGGGUUGUAAAGCUCUUUUACCCGGGAUGAUAAUGACAGUACCGGGAGAAUAAGCUCCGGCUAACUCCGUG